UGGAGUGGAGCUCAGUGGUAGAGCACUUGUCUAGCAUGUCAGAGGUCCUGGGUUCCAUCCCUAGUACGACAA
rnacentral:tRNA from 1 species